rnacentral:rRNA from 1 species
AGUGAACGCUGGCGGUAGGCCUAACACAUGCAAGUCGAACGGCAGCACAGUAAGAGCUUGCUCUUACGGGUGGCGAGUGGCGGACGGGUGAGGAAUACAUCGGAAUCUACUUUUUCGUGGGGGAUAACGUAGGGAAACUUACGCUAAUACCGCAUACGACCUACGGGUGAAAGCAGGGGAUCUUCGGACCUUGCGCGACUGAAUGAGCCGAUGUCGGAUUAGCUAGUUGGCGGGGUAAAGGCCCACCAAGGCGACGAUCCGUAGCUGGUCUGAGAGGAUGAUCAGCCACACUGGAACUGAGACACGGUCCAGACUCCUACGGGAGGCAGCAGUGGGGAAUAUUGGACAAUGUGCGCAAGCCUGAUCCAGCCAUACCGCGUGGGUGAAGAAGGCCUUCGGGUUGUAAAGCCCUUUUGUUGGGAAAGAAAAGCAGCAGGUUAAUACCCCGCUGUUCUGACGGUACCCAAAGAAUAAGCACCGGCUAACUUCGUG